GUCAGCACCCCGCACUAAAGUGAUGGGGCUUCAUGCCUCACCAUUUUAGUUAGUUGCACCAGACUAUCAGCCUUAAACAAGCUGGGUUCACAUUAAGAGUUAAAAGACUCACCUUGGGAUGCGUAGCUAGUUCCAAGCUCUGAAAUCAAGCAAUUAAACGCUGAAAUGUUGUUCGCGGUAGAACAAAGCGAUCGC
rnacentral:sRNA from 1 species